CCUACGGGUGGCAGCAGUGGGGAAUAUUGCACAAUGGGCGCAAGCCUGAUGCAGCCAUGCCGCGUGUGUGAAGAAGGCCUUCGGGUUGUAAAGCACUUUCAGCGGGGAGGAAGGCGUUAAGGUUAAUAACCUUGGCGAUUGACGUUACCCGCAGAAGAAGCACCGGCUAACUCCGUGCCAGCAGCCGCGGUAAUACGGAGGGUGCAAGCGUUAAUCGGAAUUACUGGGCGUGAAGCGCACGCAGGCGGUCUGUCAAGUCGGAUGUGAAAUCCCCGGGCUCAACCUGGGAACUGCAUUCGAAACUGGCAGGCUAGAGUCUUGUAGAGGGGGGUAGAAUUCCAGGUGUAGCGGUGAAAUGCGUAGAGAUCUGGAGGAAUACCGGUGGCGAAGGCGGCCCCCUGGACAAAGACUGACGCUCAGGUGCGAAAGCGUGGGGAGCAAACAGGAUUAGAUACCCGUGUAGUC
rnacentral:rRNA from 1 species